ACUCAAAUGAAUAGACGGGGGCCCGCACAAGCGGUGGAGCAUGUGGUUUAAUUCGAUGCAACGCGAAGAACCUUACCUGGAUUUGACAUCCUCGGACAGCCGUAGAGAUACGGUUUCCCCUUCGGGGGCCGGGAGACAGGUGCUGCAUGGCUGUCGUCAGCUCGUAUCGUGAGAUGUCGGGUUAAGUCCCUUAACGAGCGCAACCCUUAUCCCUAGUUGCCACCAUUAAGUUGGGCACUCUAAGGAGACUGCCGGUGUUAAGCCGGAGGAAGGUGGGGAUGACGUCAAGUCCUCAUGGCCUUUAUAUCCAGGGCAACACACGUGCUACAAUGGCCGGUACAGAGGGUCGCCAACCCGUGAGGGGGAGCUAAUCUCAGAAAGCCGGUCUCAGUUCGGAUUGAAGUCUGCAACUCGACUUCAUGAAGCUGGAAUCGCUAGUAAUCGCAGAUCAGAACGCUGCGGUGAAUACGUUCCCGGGCCUUGUACACACCGCCCGU
rnacentral:rRNA from 1 species